rnacentral:rRNA from 1 species
AAUACGACUCUCGGCAACGGAUAUCUCGGCUCUCGCAUCGAUGAAGAACGUAGCGAAAUGCGAUACUUGGUGUGAAUUGCAGAAUCCCGUGAACCAUCGAGUCUUUGAACGCAAGUUGCGCCCCAAGCAUUUACGGCUUGGAGCACGUCUGCCUGGGUGUCACGC